rnacentral:snRNA from 1 species
GUGUUUACCUGGUAGAGGAGAUACCAUAAUCACAAAGGUGUUUUUCUCAGGAUGAAGCUUGCCCAUGGUCUUCCAAAUGUGGCAAGCCUCUAAUUCCAACAUGUGUGAGAUACUUGACUGCACCAUUUUCGGUAGUGGGCACCUGUGUGUCUGUGCUCU